CCCUCGAGCCGGGACCUGCCUCCCGCGGCUGGCGGCGUCGCACCUUUCUUACUCGCCUCCGCUUUGCAGCCCCGAAAGGUGCAAGGAGGCUGCAGAGCAAGCUGACUGCAUGGGGGCAGUUGGUGCUAGGUCUCAACCUGAUGCCAGGGACUAAGCCCCGUGCCAGGAUCUCAACGCGCUUUGCAAGCACCUAUUAAACAACCCACACUACUGUAGCCCCAGCCCUGCACUCCCUUUCUUCAUAGGCCAAAUUACCACCGGCUGCAGGAUCAAACCCUUAGGAAGUUUAUGUAUUGUAUUUUAUUCAGCCUUCAGCAGUGAUGUCCGUGCUUAGAGUUGCUUACAUCACAAAUGGACAAAUCCCGAAGGCCUUAGGCAAAAUUUCCAUUGACUUCAGGUCGAUUAUUGGAAAGGAGUCACUGGGCUUUUUUGCCUAAGUAAAAUGAGGAGGAUUUGGGGCGCUGUUGUUUUGUUUUUGUUUUUUUUAACCGGUGGCCCAAGCAAGAUUUUUGCCAGCUUGAGAAGAGACCGUCACCAAUACCUUACUUCGGUGCUGUGCUUCUUCAAAUAGAAUUGGAGCAAUCCUCGACUUGAAGCUGCCUUCAAUCGGAAGUGUAUUGGUACCGUAUUUCACUGAAGCUGUGGUUAAAAAAUAAAGCCUUUUUAAAAAACACACAUUUCUAAUGAAAAUUAGAAACACUAAAGACAGAGAAGAGUUCCUUAUGGUGGUAUAAGAAGAUUUCAUGGGAAGUAACAGGAUCAAAUGAAGAAAAGGAAAAAUUUCCGGAGAGAGAGAGAGAGAGAAAGUAGGCUGCAGAAUGGGACAAUUAAACUAGUCUGGACAAAGCAAUAAAAAUGCAAUAAAGAGACCAAAUAUGCACUGA